UUUGUUUAACUUUGCAAUACAACGUUCAGGGUUAAUACAUUUUUCAAUCACAUUAAUGGAGGCAUGCAAAUAUUUCCUCGGGCUAGACGAAAAUUGACCCGCAAGUGCAAAGGCAGAAGGGAGCUUGACUGCAAGAUCCGCCUAUCAAGCAGGAACGAAAGUUGGCCUUAGUGAUAUGACGAUGCCGAGUGGAAGGGCCAUCAAUCAAUGGAUAAAAGUUAAUAUAGGGAUAACAAGCUAAUCUUCCCCAAUAUUUCACAUUGAUGGGAAGGUUUGGCACCUCGACACCGUCUCUUCACCACUUGGGAUGAUAGUACAUUCCAAGGGUUGGGUUGUUCACCCAUUAAAGAGGUACGUGAGAUGGGUUCAGAACGUUGUGAGAUAGUUCG
rnacentral:ncRNA from 1 species